rnacentral:rRNA from 1 species
AUGAUUCGUGGGACGUCCUGCCGGUGGUGGCGAGUCGAAGGCGUGCUCCCGUCGUGGUUUCCACUUCGGUUCUUGUGCGCCCGAGGCGGACCCCGAUGAAAUCCUACCGCGGUGCUCUUAACCGAGUGUCGAGGUGGGCCGGCACGUUUACUUUGAACAAAUUAGAGUGCUUAAAGCAGGCCUGUUGCGCCUGAAUACUGUGUGCAUGGAAUAAUGGAAUAGGACCUCGGUUCUAUUUUGUUGGUUUUCGGAACCCGAGGUAAUGAUUAAUAGGGACAGGCGGGGGCAUUCGUAUUGCGACGUUAGAGGUGAAAUUCUUGGAUCGUCGCAAGACGGACCGAAGCGAAAGCAUUUGCCAAGUAUGUUUUCAUUAAUCAAGAACGAAAGUUAGAGGUUCGAAGGCGAUCAGAUACCGCCCUAGUUCUAACCAUAAACGAUGCCAGCUAGCGAUCCGCCGAAGUUCCUCCGAUGACUCGGCGGGCAGCUCCCGGGAAACCAAGCUUUUGGGUUCCGGGGGAAGUAUGGUUGCAAGCUGAACUUAAGGAAUUGACGGAAGG